UUGUUAAAUCUAAUUAUCCAUUUUCAUUAAAACCAUAAUUCCAUAUCCCGAACUUUUUCCAUUUAUCCAAUUCAAUUUUAAUUAGUAAUAUCAAUAAUAUUUUACAUAUUCUAAUAAGGCAAAAAGAGAAAAUGCAGUGGGAAUUGAAAGGAAGCUGCAGCGUUCAAGCCAAAGUGAAGCUACAAAACGCAAAGUACAAAACAACAGAAACGCAUAAGUCGAAGACGACAAUAACGAGCCAAAGGCUACCGCAAUGGUAAACGUGAUAAGCUGCAAACACACGCUUCAAAACGCCAAGCCAACAUUACUGCAUAAACGACGUACAUGCCAAAAUGAAACGCAACUGAAACAAAAUCAAAACGCAAAUCAAAUCCGUAAAGGCUACAAAGAGAAAUAGAAACGCGUAAGUCACAUGAACACCGCAACAUCCAAGCAGCAUCAAAAUGGCAAGAGAAUUCUAAAACGCAGAUUGAACUCACCAAUAUAAAUACGCAAAUCAGCGAAUUUUUGGGAUUCUUCUUCUUUUUCUCCAAUUUUUCCAGAAUUCUUUUUCUUCCCUUUUUCUUCUUCUUUCAGAAAAGCCUUCUUCCUCUUCCCGCGACACCGCCAUCUGCAACACCUUCCACAACCACUGAGAUCGAUCAUCGCCUUCACCAUCUGCCACCUUCAUAGCUUUAGCUUCUUCUCUUCUUCCAAGCUUUGUGAAGUCAUCCAUAAGAUACGUGCCAAAAUCAGAGCGCGACGAUAAGAAGGAGAAACGCGGGCAUCUGUGAAAAGUGAAGAUUCAAGUUUAUACCUUGAUUUAGAUUGCGAUUCAGAGUAAUUUCCUCGAUUUUCCUUGCCUUUCCUUCCUUUCUGUCUCCUGUCGAUUGCAAGGAUUUAAAUCUCGUUCGACUUAUGAUUCGAUUCGCGUUGGAGUAGAGAUUAGGUGAUUUCUUCGGUGGAUUCUUUUAGAGUAAGGAUUAGGUGAGUUCGUAGGCGGUUACAUGGUCCACCGCCGCCGACGAGGCCCGGUGUGGCGGAAACGGAUGGAGUUUCUCCGACGCGGUGCUUGAAAGGAGAGAUGGAGAGCUUGUGAGGGAGUUUGCGUAUGAUGUUGUUUUGUGUAAGUAGAAUCCCCUGUCCAUAUCUUCG
rnacentral:lncRNA from 1 species